rnacentral:rRNA from 1 species
UACAGAGGUGGCUAGCGUUAAUCGGAAUUACUGGGCGUAAAGCGUGCGUAGGCGGUUCUCCAAGUCCGUUGUGAAAGCCCCGGGCUCAACCUGGGAAUGGCAGUGGAAACUAGGGGACUGGAAUCUGGCAGAGGGGGGUGGAAUGCCGCGUGUAGCAGUGAAAUGCGUAGAGAUGCGGCGGAACACCGAUGGCGAAGGCAGCCCCCUGGGCUGAGAUUGACGCUCAGGCACGAAAGCGUGGGGAGCAAACAGG